GGUUAAGCGACUAAGCGUACACGGUGGAUGCCCUGGCAGUCAGAGGCGAUGAAGGACGUGCUAAUCUGCGAUAAGCGUCGGUAAGGUGAUAUGAACCGUUAUAACCGGCGAUUUCCGAAUGGGGAAACCCAGUGUGUUUCGACACACUAUCAUUAACUGAAUCCAUAGGUUAAUGAGGCGAACCGGGGGAACUGAAACAUCUAAGUACCCCGAGGAAAAGAAAUCAACCGAGAUUCCCCCAGUAGCGGCGAGCGAACGGGGAGCAGCCCAGAGCCUGAAUCAGUGUGUGUGUUAGUGGAAGCGUCUGGAAAGGCGCGCGAUACAGGGUGACAGCCCCGUACACAAAAAUGCACAUGCUGUGAGCUCGAUGAGUAGGGCGGGACACGUGGUAUCCUGUCUGAAUAUGGGGGGACCAUCCUCCAAGGCUAAAUACUCCUGACUGACCGAUAGUGAACCAGUACCGUGAGGGAAAGGCGAAAAGAACCCCGGCGAGGGGAGUGAAAAAGAACCUGAAACCGUGUACGUACAAGCAGUGGGAGCACGCUUAGGCGUGUGACUGCGUACCUUUUGUAUAAUGGGUCAGCGACUUAUAUUCUGUAGCAAGGUUAACCGAAUAGGGGAGCCGAAGGGAAACCGAGUCUUAACUGGGCGUUAAGUUGCAGGGUAUAGACCCGAAACCCGGUGAUCUAGCCAUGGGCAGGUUGAAGGUUGGGUAACACUAACUGGAGGACCGAACCGACUAAUGUUGAAAAAUUAGCGGAUGACUUGUGGCUGGGGGUGAAAGGCCAAUCAAACCGGGAGAUAGCUGGUUCUCCCCGAAAGCUAUUUAGGUAGCGCCUCGUGAAUUCAUCUCCGGGGGUAGAGCACUGUUUCGGCAAGGGGGUCAUCCCGACUUACCAACCCGAUGCAAACUGCGAAUACCGGAGAAUGUUAUCACGGGAGACACACGGCGGGUGCUAACGUCCGUCGUGAAGAGGGAAACAACCCAGACCGCCAGCUAAGGUCCCAAAGUCAUGGUUAAGUGGGAAACGAUGUGGGAAGGCCCAGACAGCCAGGAUGUUGGCUUAGAAGCAGCCAUCAUUUAAAGAAAGCGUAAUAGCUCACUGGUCGAGUCGGCCUGCGCGGAAGAUGUAACGGGGCUAAACCAUGCACCGAAGCUGCGGCAGCGACGCUUAUGCGUUGUUGGGUAGGGGAGCGUUCUGUAAGCCUGUGAAGGUGUGCUGUGAGGCAUGCUGGAGGUAUCAGAAGUGCGAAUGCUGACAUAAGUAACGAUAAAGCGGGUGAAAAGCCCGCUCGCCGGAAGACCAAGGGUUCCUGUCCAACGUUAAUCGGGGCAGGGUGAGUCGACCCCUAAGGCGAGGCCGAAAGGCGUAGUCGAUGGGAAACAGGUUAAUAUUCCUGUACUUGGUGUUACUGCGAAGGGGGGACGGAGAAGGCUAUGUUGGCCGGGCGACGGUUGUCCCGGUUUAAGCGUGUAGGCUGGUUUUCCAGGCAAAUCCGGAAAAUCAAGGCUGAGGCGUGAUGACGAGGCACUACGGUGCUGAAGCAACAAAUGCCCUGCUUCCAGGAAAAGCCUCUAAGCAUCAGGUAACAUCAAAUCGUACCCCAAACCGACACAGGUGGUCAGGUAGAGAAUACCAAGGCGCUUGAGAGAACUCGGGUGAAGGAACUAGGCAAAAUGGUGCCGUAACUUCGGGAGAAGGCACGCUGAUAUGUAGGUGAGGUCCCUCGCGGAUGGAGCUGAAAUCAGUCGAAGAUACCAGCUGGCUGCAACUGUUUAUUAAAAACACAGCACUGUGCAAACACGAAAGUGGACGUAUACGGUGUGACGCCUGCCCGGUGCCGGAAGGUUAAUUGAUGGGGUCAGCGCAAGCGAAGCUCUUGAUCGAAGCCCCGGUAAACGGCGGCCGUAACUAUAACGGUCCUAAGGUAGCGAAAUUCCUUGUCGGGUAAGUUCCGACCUGCACGAAUGGCGUAAUGAUGGCCAGGCUGUCUCCACCCGAGACUCAGUGAAAUUGAACUCGCUGUGAAGAUGCAGUGUACCCGCGGCAAGACGGAAAGACCCCGUGAACCUUUACUAUAGCUUGACACUGAACAUUGAGCCUUGAUGUGUAGGAUAGGUGGGAGGCUUUGAAGUGUGGACGCCAGUCUGCAUGGAGCCGACCUUGAAAUACCACCCUUUAAUGUUUGAUGUUCUAACGUUGACCCGUAAUCCGGGUUGCGGACAGUGUCUGGUGGGUAGUUUGACUGGGGCGGUCUCCUCCUAAAGAGUAACGGAGGAGCACGAAGGUUGGCUAAUCCUGGUCGGACAUCAGGAGGUUAGUGCAAUGGCAUAAGCCAGCUUGACUGCGAGCGUGACGGCGCGAGCAGGUGCGAAAGCAGGUCAUAGUGAUCCGGUGGUUCUGAAUGGAAGGGCCAUCGCUCAACGGAUAAAAGGUACUCCGGGGAUAACAGGCUGAUACCGCCCAAGAGUUCAUAUCGACGGCGGUGUUUGGCACCUCGAUGUCGGCUCAUCACAUCCUGGGGCUGAAGUAGGUCCCAAGGGUAUGGCUGUUCGCCAUUUAAAGUGGUACGCGAGCUGGGUUUAGAACGUCGUGAGACAGUUCGGUCCCUAUCUGCCGUGGGCGCUGGAGAACUGAGGGGGGCUGCUCCUAGUACGAGAGGACCGGAGUGGACGCAUCACUGGUGUUCGGGUUGUCAUGCCAAUGGCACUGCCCGGUAGCUAAAUGCGGAAGAGAUAAGUGCUGAAAGCAUCUAAGCACGAAACUUGCCCCGAGAUGAGUUCUCCCUGACUCCUUGAGAGUCCUGAAGGAACGUUGAAGACGACGACGUUGAUAGGCCGGGUGUGUAAGCGCAGCGAUGCGUUGAGCUAACCGGUACUAAUGAACCGUGAGGCUUAACCUU
rnacentral:rRNA from 1 species